GGCUGGUAGAUACCUAGGGGUAAGGGCCAGUUGUAUACUGCUAUUUUGUAGUAAACUAGCAGUUUACUGGAAAUUCGAGAUUUUCAUUAACUUUCGCACUACUGCGCAACUUUUUUAACCAACUGCCCUCUGGUCUCGAUAAUUAUGUGUAUAAAAUAUUCUAUAUCAAUCACAUGUAAAUAGAAUUGAAAAUGCCAUUAAAUGGACAAUGGUACUGUAUUUCGACUGUGCCUUUGUACAUUUAGAUGUACCUAGUAAUAAAAUUACUCAAUAUAUAUUGUUACAUAGCUAUACUAAACUUUCAAUGAAUAUGUAACUGUUUUGCAUACUAUGUAUAUUUUCAAAGAAUAAACUAAACCUAAGGUUAUUGUUGCACGAGGAAUUAUGGUUUCUUUGAUCAAAGUGUAAGAAAAUGCUUUUUAUCAACCGUGUACAUAUUUCAGUAUCAUCAAUUAACAUUGCAGUUUUUAUAGUUCAAAUUUCAAUGCCCUCUCAUUCAAUUCUCUAUCCAGAACAGGGUACUUGUAGACUGCGCACCUCCGUCACCGAAUGAACAUGCAUGAAUUAGAUAAUUACGCAUUCGAUUUACUGCAUGCUGACAGACAGACACUGUCAGACAGAAAUUUUUAUUUAAAUUCGGUGAACUCUUCACUGAAAACACUGCUUUAUAAGAGGGCUGACAUUAUUAAAAAUAGACAGACACACAGACAAGCAAAUAGACAGACAGACAAAC